CGUAAAGGCAGCAGCCCGGCCUUGAAGCCGGAUCUCGCGAUGUUUCAGGGUGAGCCGGACGCAGGCGUGCCUGCGCAGUGCGCGGAGGAGUGCUGUUCGUGUGUUCGAGUCCCUGGGUUGCUUCCUGGGGUCUGUGGUGCUGGGUGUGCUAUCUGCGUGUGAUUCUCUAGCGAGAGAUUGUGGGCGAGUGACCGAGUGGGCAAGGGGCCGUCACUGUGUGUGCGUGAUUUUGACAGUGUGUGGUGGUAGCUUCUGACUCCGCGUGGGUCGUUGAAUGUAUGACUGGGACCGUUUAGCGGUGGAUACACAACUGUGUGCGGCUGUGGAAGAUUGCCUCAUCCGUUACGUUCCCAUUUCCGUGGAACAACAGUUUUACCAGAAGGUUUCGAAGGAACCUUAAAGUUUGGAAGCGUAAGAGUUUAUCUGGCGGCUUUGGUGUCAUCAAAUGUGAGAAGCCCUGGACUUUACACAUCCCGAGCCAGUGUGAUCCAGUAUGAUUGGGAGUCCGAGUGCCAGAUGCCGGUCAGGACCUGUUAUGCUGGGUCUCAGAAUGCGGAAACUCUCCCUGUCCGAGGUGGAACAGUUUGUCCUUGAGUGAGGACUGGAGUCCUGAGUGACUCUUUUGAUUUGAUCCUGUUUCCCUCAAACCUGAGAUGGGAGCCUCACUGUAUUGCCCAGGCUGGUCUUGAACUCCGGAGCUCAAGUGAUCGUCUUGCUUCAGCCUUGCAAAAUGAUGGUGAAGCUGCAUCAUUGUCUGGGAUGGAGUCCCUGUCUGACCGGGCCAUGUUGUAUGUUCCUUGCUGUACACGUGGUUGACAAAGAAAAGGGAAGAUGGAGCUGCGAUGUUGGACAUGCCUGGCCCCCAGGACAUACAGCCCUGCCGAGCAAAUAAUGAACGUAACUCACAAACUUCCUGCUUAUCAUCAAACGCACGCAUCCACUUAUCAUCAAACACCUCGGGUGACAGAAGAAUGCAGGUCAGCUCCCUGCUGCCUUGGCAUUAUCAAUCAGCCCAGGAACCAUCCUAUAAAAUCUCCAGCAAGCCUUUGUUUCCUUGCAGUCAGCUCCUCUUCCACUGAUUCUGCCUGUUGCUCCCUGAUAACAUACUUUGAUACUGUCUUUAAUAAAUCUGCCUUUCUUCACCCACAGCUGUCUUGGUAAGUUCUUUUACCUCUGUGCCACCAGCCCAAACAGUUGCUGCUCACCUGAAACAAAGAAUAAAUGUGGUUUUUAAGCAAAUCAAAGUUUACUUAG
rnacentral:lncRNA from 1 species